UACGUAGGAUUCGAGCGUUAUCCGGAUUUAUUGGGUUUAAAGGGAGCGUAGGCGGGUUGUUAAGUCAGUUGUGAAAGUUUGCGGCUCAACCGUAAAAUUGCAGUUGAUACUGGCAUCCUUGAGUACAGUAGAGGUAGGCGGAAUUCGUGGUGUAGUGGUGAAAUGCUUAGAUAUCACGAAGAACUCCGAUUGCGAAGGCAGCCUGCUGGACUGUAACUGACGCUGAUGCUCGAAAGUGUGGGUAUCAAACAGG
rnacentral:rRNA from 1 species